AUUGAACGCUGGCGGCAGGCCUAACACAUGCAAGUCGAACGGUAACAGGAAGCAGCUUGCUGCUUCGCUGACGAGUGGCGGACGGGUGAGUAAUGUCUGGGAAACUGCCUGAUGGAGGGGGAUAACUACUGGAAACGGUAGCUAAUACCGCAUAACGUCGCAAGACCAAAGAGGGGGACCUUCGGGCCUCUUGCCAUCAGAUGUGCCCAGAUGGGAUUAGCUAGUUGGUGGGGUAACGGCUCACCAAGGCGACGAUCCCUAGCUGGUCUGAGAGGAUGACCCAGCCACACUGGAACUGAGACACGGUCCAGACUCCUACGGGAGGCAGCAGUGGGGAAUAUUGCACAAUGGGCGCAAGCCUGAUGCAGCCAUGCCGCGUUGUAUGAAGAAGGCCUUCGGGUUGUAAAGUACUUUCAGCGGGGAGGAAGGUGUUGUGGUUAAUAACCGCAGCAAUUGACGUUACCCGCAGAAGAAGCACCGGCUAACUCCGUGCCAGCCGCUGC
rnacentral:rRNA from 1 species